rnacentral:rRNA from 1 species
GACGUAGGGCGCGAGCGUUGUCCGGAAUUAUUGGGCGUAAAGGGCUCGUAGGCGGUUUGUCGCGUCGGGAGUGAAAACUCAGGGCUUAACCCUGAGCCUGCUUCCGAUACGGGCAGACUAGAGGUAUGCAGGGGAGAACGGAAUUCCUGGUGUAGCGGUGAAAUGCGCAGAUAUCAGGAGGAACACCGGUGGCGAAGGCGGUUCUCUGGGCAUUACCUGACGCUGAGGAGCGAAAGUGUGGGGAGCGAACAGG